rnacentral:rRNA from 1 species
AUUGAACGCUGGCGGCAGGCUUAACACAUGCAAGUCGAGCGAUGAAGGUAUAGCUUGCUAUACUGGAUUAGCGGCGGACGGGUGCGUAAUACUUAGGAAUCUGCCCAGUAGUGGGGGACAACACGGGGAAACUCGUGCUAAUACCGCAUACACCUUACGAGGAAAAGGGGCCUUUUAGGUCUCGCUAUUGGAUGAGCCUAAGCAAGAUUAGCUAGUUGGUGGGGUAAAGGCCUACCAAGGCGACGAUCUUUAGCUGGUCUGAGAGGAUGAUCAGCCACACUGGGACUGAGACACGGCCCAGACUCCUACGGGAGGCAGCAGUGGGGAAUAUCGGACAAUGGGGGAAACCCUGAUCCAGCCAUGCCGCGUGUGUGAAGAAGGCCUUUUGGUUGUAAAGCACUUUAAGCAGGGAGGAAAAGCUAUAUGUUAAUACCAUGUAGCCGUGACGUUACCUGCAGAAUAAGCACCGGCUAACUCUGUGCCAGCAGCCGCGGUAAUACAGAGGGUGCGAGCGUUAAUCGGAAUUACUGGGCGUAAAGCGCGCGUAGGCGGUUUGGUCAGUCAGAUGUGAAAGCCCAGGGCUUAACCUUGGAACUGCAUCUGAUACUGCCAGACUAGAGUAUGGGAGAGGAAAGUAGAAUUCCAGGUGUAGCGGUGAAAUGCGUAGAUAUCUGGAGGAAUACCGAUGGCGAAGGCAGCUUUCUGGCCCAAUACUGACGCUGAGGUGCGAAAGCGUGGGUAGCAAACGGG